CUUGCACCUAAAAGACUUUUAGGGCAUUUCAAAUUCUGCUCAAAGGUCGGAAAGGCCCUUCCGCCCUCCACGUUUGUUUUAGUGCCAUUUGUGCGUUAUUUUUAUAAAGUUACCUCAUGAAUUAUUCAUAAACAGAGCAGACGUAGCGUAAAGUAAGACAAGCAGCACAAAAAAGAAAACACUCGAGAUGGAAGGACAAGUUUGCUGGAGGAAGCCUUUAGCAAAUACGAAAAUCAGAUUAAAUUAUGGCAAAGUUUCUAAUUGGUUUGUUAUUAAGACAGCGAUUACCAUAAAUUACAAUUGAAAUAGGGAAAAUGGUUAAAGCAUUCUGCUCUGUUCUACAACAAAUGGCUAAGCAAAUUAACUGUGGCCCUGAAAUGAACAAUGAACAGAGAACUCUUGGCUCAUGUUUAAUGCACUUGACAGUGCCAGAACUCCGUCUGCCGGUCGCUGGUCGAGAGACCUUCAAGGAAACCUCUAAAGUUAUGACUUUUACGCCCCAUUAUCGCUUAAAUAAUUUAGUCGGCCAAAAGAAACGAAAACAACACGAAAAAGGGAAAAUUGCUAGAAA